AAAAAACCCACAUAUAUUUUCCCCUAAUUAAAAAGGAAACUCUUUAAAUAAGAGAGUGAAUAAAACCUGACGACUAUAAGAACCAAGAAGACUCCCAUAAUUAAUCAAGCAACCCAGUUUCUUUAUUUUCUUCUUUUCUUCUGCCAAAAGAGAAUGGCAAAACUCAAAUCUCUCAUAAUCGGAAAAGUCAAAGACAAAGCUUCAAUAUGCAAAGCCAGUUUGUUCUAUAGUUUCAGUUCGAAGUCGGUCAGAUAUAUUCACUUAGCCCUUUUGAAGUCAACAACUCAUACUUCUCAUAAACCACCCGAUAGCAACUACAUCUCCGACGUCGUCUCUUACUCCAAUGGUCGUCAUGCCCCGGUAGCUUUUGCGGCGGUUAUGUGGAGGUUACAAGUCACAAAGAAUGCUUUUGUGGCCAUCAAGUCUCUCAUAGUCUUCCACAUACUUAUCAAAUCAUCGAGAUACAAGUUUGAAGGACUUGAUCGCGGUAGAAACAGUCUGAAACUGAAUGAUUUCUCAGACAAAUCUUCUAAUCUCACAAUAGAAUUAUCACCAUGGAUCAUAUGGUAUGGACGAUAUUUGGAUAGUCUCUCGUGGAUUUUGAAGGUAGUAGGGUCUUUUCCAAAUUUAACGGAUAGCUCAAAAGAGAAAUCUAAAGAGAAAGAUUGUGUUUCGUCUUACCAAACCGGGUACAUAAUGAGACAGACCGACUCUCUUUUGACUUUCCUUGAGCAUAUAUGUACUAGACCGGAUACUCCACUUUUGUUCCAGAACAAGAUCGUGGACGAGAUCAGAGAGCUCGUGAUUCAAGACUACUUUACGGUUGUAAUAUUGGUUAUGAUACGGCUUCAAGUGUUGAAUGAAAGAUUGACUAAACCGGAACCGGUUGGUGAUUCCAGUUUGAACGAUUUAAGGUUGGUUUUGAUGAGACUUGAAGAAUGCAAGGAGAGUUUGAGAGGAUUUUUCUGGCAUUAUAGACGUUUGGCAGAAGAUUUCUGGUGUUUGGUUGAAACAUUGAAGGCCGAUAUGGUACAUAGCGAUAAGGAGAUGGUUAACUUAACCGGUUUGGUUCAGACAACGGUUAAGGACGAUGAGGAGAUGGUUGAACUAGCAAGUUCGGUUCAGACCGAAUGGGUAACAUUCGACGACUCUGAGAUAGCAAUGAGGGAGUUGUCAAAACGGGAGUCCGAGUGGGAAACUUUUGAUGACUAGGCUUUGACGAAUGAACCGGUCCAGUUCAUCCUCUAUACGUAAGGUUGAGAGCUGAUUGGCUCAGUUAGGUUUUAGUAAGGACCACAGCUAGAGAAGAAACAUGGCUAAAGAUGAUUUGUUGUUUGGAGCUGGACCGAUGAGGAAUGUAGAUAUUUUUUUACUUUAUAUGCGGAUGAGAAAAAAAAGGUAAACAAAACGAGGCUUGGCAUGAGUCUAACUGGAAGAGAUUCCAUCAUCACCAAGUUUGAAGAGAGAUUUGGGAAAAGACAUGUCUUCUUCCUCCCACAAAGACGAGUGUGUAUAAGUAAUUCCUUAUGUAAAGAAUUAAAAAAAUUAUAAAGUCAACGUGUAACUUAAUUUCCUAUUCUAUUAUAAAACAUUCAUAAAGAAAACAAAUCGGUCAUUGCUCCAGUUGUGGCCUUCGAUCAUUUGUUUAGGUGAUUGACAUGAUACAAUAUGUAUUGGGUUUAGUCACUUAUUUUAAAACACAUAUGCUCCAGAGACAAUAAUAUGGCACAUUUAAGGUUUCGCUUUCA